AAUAGAGAGUGUAGAGUUGGUGAGAGAGUGUUUUGAAGUUGUGUUAGUUACGUAAAGUUAAUAAGAGUUGUUAUCUUUGUUCGUUUUUAAAAUUAGUAAUUUAUAUCCAUUUUAUUUGGUGGUGUGCGGUUGAAGUGAUGAAACGAUGAGAAGUUAAUCCACAUUCCAUCCAUACAUCAACAUCCACGAUACAUGUUCAUAGCUUUUCGUUGG
rnacentral:lncRNA from 1 species